UUAAUGAUGAUCUUGGAGGGUACUAUGGUGUUGAAGGCUUAGCUACAUGACCCGCUAAACCGCUCAUUUUAACACCCGCCAGCUUAACCCGGAAGCCAGCUGCACCAAUGUGUUGGAGGAAACACUUUUCAAUUUAAGACCAAAGUCAGCCUGCAGGCGCCCGGCCCGCCACAAGGAGUCACUAGAGCGUAAUAAGCCAAGGAAAGCCUCCUGGGCCAAACCCUUACUUAACCCGGAUGACGUUGGGCCAAUUGUGCGCCGCCUUAUGGGAUUCCCAGUCAUGGCCAGUUACACAUCCUGGGAUUGAACCCGGCUCUGUAGGAACACCUCAACCACUGCGAUCUUGCCACCCAUUCUAAAACUAACUGCAGAUCUUUGUUAAUUGUUGCAGUCAUUUCAGUCGCUGUAGUAGCUGACAUGUAUAGUGUUGAGUCAUCCGCAUACAUAAACACACUGGCUUUACUCAAGGUAUGUCGUUAGUAAAGGUUGAAAAAGUAAGGGGCCUAGACAGCUGCCCUGGGGAAUUCCUGAUUCUACCUGGAUUAUGUUGGAGAGGCUUCUGGUAAAAAACACCCUCUGUGUUCUGUUAGACAGGUAAAUCUUUAUCCACAAUAUAGCAGGGGGUGUAAAGCCAUAACACAUACGUUUUUCCAGCAGCAGACUAUGAUCGAUAAUGACAAAAGCCGCACUGAAGUCUAACAUAACAGCCCCCACGAUAUUUUUAUCAUCAAUUUCUCUCAGCCAAUCAGUCAUUUGUAUGAUAGUGCAUUGAUCAGUUACAGUUUAAGACCUACUUUUUUUGUUUUUCCCCCAGUCGACCUUUUAAGGGCUACCUAUCUGUUGUCUAAUGGACACAGGAUCACAAGAUCACAAGCCCUGGCCAGCAGGGCACACUACUGGGAGACCCCUCAGCAUGGUUAUCCCUAAAAGAAGCUAAUGGAUUGAACAUUCAAUAUUUGUGGUAUGUACUGUUAGAUGUGAAAAUGGGUGAUGUUCUCGUUCCUGACUGUGGUAUUGUGGUUGUCCAAGACCAUUGUUUGGCCAAUACAGAUGGCCUAGUGGGAACAAACAUAAUAAAAAACUGCUGGGACACCUUGACAAAAGACAAUUUGACUGUGCCUUUCUAGUGGACACUUUUAGCAGCAGGUGUGGUAAAGGCCAUGAAGGUGUGCACCAAAGUUUGCAGCCACCAAUGGGAUUACAGGGUAUGUACGUACCAUUAAUUGCUAUCCUCUGAAGACUCCAGGUUCAAAGUGAAAUCCUGGUGUGGGGUCAGACCAGAGCGGGAGAGGAGGGCAAGGACUACCAGUGUCUAGUGGAGCCAAUCUUUGAGAAUGAGUUGCUCAUCACCCAAGCUGUGUUCAGAGUCCAGCAGGGAAGGCUGCCUAUCCGACUGAGGAACAUCGGAGACUGCCCUACGUCGACACCAAAAACUUGCCAUGGCCUUCAUAGUGAACCCUGCAGACGUCAUACAGGAGAAUGAUGUGAGUAUAUCCAGGGCGGGGGAACAGGCUUUGCAAGACAGUUUAACACAUGUAUAACAAUCAACAACAGACAGCCUAUACAACAACCGACUACAGAACAGCCUAUACUAGUUGACCUGACAGGUGUAGACAUUUCCCCUUAACAGAGAAUGAAACUGCAAGCACUGUUACAUAAGCACCAGGCUACAUUUGCUGCCCAUGGUAAAGAUUAUGGAAGACAACCAUAGUGCUGUUAGGCAGGGCUGAGCAGGUGAACCCAAGUGCAGACUCAGACGAGGAGACAGGAAUAAGGUAACUAAGAUAUUUAUUGAAAAGCAGGGGGGAGAUGGGGUGCAGGCCAGGGGAAACUCAGGCGGGUAGCAGGGAACCAGGAACUGAGGCUGGGGCAAGGGGAGUAGGGGCAGGGUAACCAGGUCCGGAGUGGAAUCCAAGGAAGCAGUAGAGCGGGGUCCAGGGCAGGGUAGCAGGACUGACGAGACGAAGGACUGGAGACAGGGACCAGAGUCGGAGCAGACUGAACUGUAGCAGAGAGAAAAGCAGCGUCAGGCUAGGGAAAAAUUGGCACAACAGGAUAACAAGAUCUAAGCAGGAACAAACGGCUUGAAAUGACUGAGCAGAGGCUACGAUUUGGCAGCGUGGAAGUGGUGGGGCUGAGUAUUUGUAGAGGUCUUGAUUAUGGAACAGUUUGCAGCUGGUGGGGAUACGCUCAGCCUCCAGCACACCUGUCUCUACUCACACAAUCACAUACACCCACAGAGAGAGAGAGGGAGAGAGCACUGGGGGAGUGGCGGCAGGUUAGGGAGACCUGAUGAGAAGUAGAGGGCAUGGCAGGAGCAGAUGUAACAAGUGCAGCAUAUGAUCUCCACUGGAGAUAUAGGCCCAGUCAGAGAGCGCCACAGACAAAUCCCUCCCAAAAUGUACCAAGAAGUGAAAACUGUCACGUCUGCUCCCGCUCUGGCGCUCGAGGUCGCCAGGCUGCUGAGCAUUACACACAAAUGUCAUAAAUUGUUACGCGCACCGGCGCUUCGUCGGACUCACCUGGACUCCAUCACGUCAUUGAUUGCCUCCCCCAUAUCUGUCACUUCCUCUGUUUCAUUACUGUGUCUGCAUUGAUGUUGUUAUGUUUCUCCUGUCCAGACGCUGGUCUUGUUUUGUUUCAUGGCUAUUAAUUAUUAAAUACACACCCUGUACUUGCUUCUCGUCUUCCAGCGUCUGUCGUUACAGAAUCGUAACAGAAAGCAUUGAUUCAAGGUAUGUUGAACUCAGGAAUAGUUAACCCAUGUACUAUCCCAUGGGCAGCCCCUAUUGUUUUGGUUAGAAAGAAGGAUGGCAUAUUGAGAUUUUGUGUGUACUAUCAUAAACUAAGCUAAAUUAAACACAAACCCACAAUGAUGCUUACCCACUCCCUCGUAUAGAGGAAUCUCUAGCCAGUUUGACCAAAGCCAAGUACUUCUCAACUUUAGACCUUGCUAUUGGCAGGUCCAGAUGUCUCCAGCACAUUAUGGAAAAGACUGCCUUUACAACUCCAAUGGGUUUGUUCGAGUUUGACCGGAUGGCAUUUGGGGUUAUGCAACUGGCCUUCUACAUUCCAAAGAUUGAUCCAAACAUGUUUAGGAGAGCAAACUCUAGAAUCUCUUUUGAUCUAUCUGGAUGAUGUUAUUGUGUUUUCUAAAGAUCUACAUCAGCCCAUCUAAAUCACAUGGAUUUAGUGUUCAGCGAACUAGCUAAGUAUGGACUCAAACUGAAACCAAACAAAUGCAAUUUUCUGAAGCAAGAAGUACAAUACCUGGGGCAUCGGGUAUCUCCUGAAGGAGUAUCAUCAGACCCGGACAAGGUCAAGUGUGUGUGCAGGACUGGCCCACGCCCAAAACGGUAAAAGAACUUUGGUCAUUUCUUGGCUUAGCAGGAUACUACCGUAGAUUUGUAAAGGACUUUGCCAGAGUGCCAGCCCCUUACUUGAGUUGUUAACAGGGCUGGCCCCAAAACAAACAAGAAAGUCUCUCGACUCUCCUACCCUCACUGGCUGGAAUCAGGCAUGUAAUAUGUCUUUUGCAAUCUUAAAACGGUCCCUCACUACCUCCCCAACUCUAGCUGACAUCUGUAUACAGAUGCCAGUAACAGAGGCUUGGGGGCAGUUCUAGCCCAGGUACAAGAGGGUAAAGAAUGGGUAAUCACAUUUGCAAGUAGAAGCCUCCAUCCCUCAGAAAGAAAUGACAGUAACUAUAGCUCAUUUAAACUUGAAUUCCUUGCACUGAAGUUUGCAGAAUACCUCAAUGCCUCACCUAUUGUGGUUUAUACAGGCAAUAAUCCUCUGGUACAUCUAAACUCAGCUAAAUUGGCAAGCAGAGAUGGGUAGCCAGAUUGGCAAGUACUGUGUAGGACGUAAUAACCAGAGUGCAGAUGCCUGGUCUCGUUUCCAUCCAGAAAACACCAUUCCAAACCAGCUGGAGGACUGAGACCCGGCAUUCCAGGAGAUGCCACCCGAAGUGGUAAAGGCCCUGUGUGCGGGGGUGGGGUGGAGGACAAACAAGCCGUCAGAAGACCAGGAUGCAGAAGAAGGACACGGCAAGCCACUCAUACCAGAGAGAACUGUCUCAGAGGAAGAGCCUUCAAGAACCGCACUGUGCUUUAUAUCUUCCCAUACUUAUAAGAGAAAAAUUAGAAAAAUGACAUGAUCAGGCUACACUUUUACAUUAUCUCCAUCAGAGAUCCAUUCCUGUUACUGAAACAUGGUGUAGUACUUUAAGAGUUUUAAAUGAAAAUAUGAGAUAGUUACAAAACUGAAAUGGUUGUUAUAUGGUAGGCCUAGUUUAAAUGUACAUUCAAAAACCUUUCCAAUAACAGUAGAUGUCUAAAUGUGUGCUGAGUUAAUUAACACAGGUCAGGCAAGGUUUCCAUAAAGGAGUCUUAAACACUCCCACUGGGCACACAGUGGUUGAAUCAACGUUGUUUCCACGUCAUUUCAAAGAAAUUACGCGGAACCAACGUGGAAUAGACAUUGAACUGACGUCUGUGCCCAGUGAGCUGUGACUGCUGAGAGAGGAUGAGGGCAGCUACCUGACAGACAGGAACGAGAGUCGAAAGAGGCCCUAGAUGUGCUCAUCUUACAUGGAAAGAGGGUGUGUUGUGUCGGACAUUCCAGGACCUCAAAGAGGUAGAGCCGAUUGUCCAGCUGGUUGUCCCUACUGGUGAGAGACAGCUGGGAACUGUAUCAUGGAAGGGCAGGCUACUGGGGAGGCAGAAAAGACCACAGCGCUUAUCCAUGCCAGAUUCUAUUGGCCAAACCUAGCCAGAGACAUUCCAAAUUGGUGUGCCACUUGUCAGCCUUGUGUCUUACGAAAGCACCAGCUUGUCUGAAACAAGCACCUUCAGUGUCAAUCAAAACGUCAGCCCCUCUUGAACUAAUGUCUAUAGACUACCUAAGCAUAGGCCAUCCAGAGACCCUCAUCACAAUGUGCUGGUAAUGGUAGACCAUUUUACUAAAUAUACUUGGGCCACCCCUACUAGGGACCAGACGGAGACUACAACUGCAAAUGCACUGUGGCAGAAGGUUAUCCAGCCUUUUGAAGGUAAUCCAGUUUAUUGGACAUUUUGAAUAUCAGUUUAUAAAGAAUCUAUGUGGAUUGUAUGGAAUAACCAAAAGUCACACUACUCCUUAUCAUCCAUCAGGGAACGGCGGGUGUGAAAGAUUUAAUAGAAUGAUCAUAGGUUUGCUGGGGACGCUUGGAGUGGAAAGACGGCGCUGGCAUGACUACCUGCAGGAAAUGAUUGAGGUGCUGAGCCGGAAGCUGGAGAUGGGUGCCAUGGUGAUGCAGAGAAACCACGAGCGGGAGAUUGGUGCCAUCGUGCCACGGAGACACUGCAGGUGGGAGAUGGGUGGCCAUGGGACUCCAAUCUGAAGAUGGGGACCGCUGUGACAGGGCUGAAAAGGGCUAAUGUAACCUUUGUGAACCAAGGUGAUCUACAAGGACCACUAAGGGAGUUCACCCCAUAAGAAACAGAGACUUAGGUUAAACGGUUGGGUUAUGUUAUGGCCAUUGGGGACACUGACGUUUCAGUAGGGAAGGAUGUAACAGGGUUCUACAAACCUGCUUAACGUUAUUACUUCUGUCACUAGUGUGGUUUGACUGAGCACAUAUUUUAUUUCCUUCACUUGACUGUUUUCACAUUUUGAAUUAUUUGCACGCUUGAGAAUCCUGCAUUUAACGAUUGAUUUUGCGAACGUCACCAUAGUUUGCUGUGUUUCACAAUUGAUUUAAGGUGUGUACUGUGCUGGUUACUCCCCUCUCUCUCUCUCGCUCUCUCUCUUCCCUUCCUACAUAAUGAUCUCCAUUCAGUUCUCUGGUAACAAUGUCUGACACCAGGUGUUUCUGUUAAGGUUGGUCCGCUAUCCUUUUCCUCUCCUCAUGGUUGCCCUAUUGUAUAGUUAUUGGAAUGCUGUCUGAUAUCGGGUGUCUCUGUUAAGUCCUAUGUGCCAAGGUCUGUGCUCUGCCCCAUCUGGAUCGUUGGAAACCCUGAGCUGUCCGUGAGCUAUCCACGCAACUGGUGUUGCUACUGUAGAUACUGCUGCUGAGACUGAGCUACCAAAUGAACGUGUGCAGUACGUGAAGCAGACUACGGUGGGCCGCUCUGCUUAAACACCCCAACAGCAACGGAUGAACUGAACUAGCCCACUCGACUGCGAUUGCUGGCAAUCUUUUUUAAUCAACCUCUUUAAUGAAGAACCUUUUUGUGACUCCCUUUCCUCUUCCCUUAUAAUAUUUAAUCAAUAUUGUUAUAUUUUGAAUAGAGCGUGGGUGUGGUUUCUCUUGGUCAUCCGGGUGUCAAUGCUCAAACCUGGUUUAUUCUGAAAGUAUUUGCGUCUAGUCUCGCCCCUACACACACCGUUCCUUACAGAACCUGGUUUAGUAAUUGUUGUGAUCGGUGUCUAGGCAGCAGAAUCCUCACAACAUAUUUCCAAGCUCUUUUAUAUAUCUGGAUGAUGGUUGGUUCUUAAGUGGAGCUUGUACAGACGUGCUCAAACUUGUUAGUACCCCUCCACAAAAAACGAAGAAUGCACAAUUUUCUCUGAAAUAACUUGAAACUGACAAAAGUAAUUGGCAUCCACCAUUGUUUAUUCCAUAUUUAAUAGAAAUCCGUCUUUGCGUUUGAUUUUUUUAUUCAACAUAAUAUUGUAAAUUACAAAACAAAUAAAUGGCAUGGGCAAAAAUGAUGGGACCCUUAACCUAAUAUUUUGUUGCACAACCUUUAGAGGCAAUCACUGCAAUCAAACGUUUUCUGCAGCUCUCAGUGAGACUUCUGCACCUGUUAACAGGUAGUUUGGCCCACUAUUCCAGAGCAAACUGCUCCAGCUGUCUCAGGUUUGAUGGGUGUCUUCUCCAGACAGCAAAUUUCAGCUCUUUCCAUAGAGCUUUCUGACACUGGGCAGUAUGUUUCACUCCAGAAUGCCUUGAUAGUCUUGAGAUUUCAUUGUGUCCUGCACAGAUUCAAGGCACCCUGUGCCAGGCGCAGCCCCGGCACAUAACCCAGCCUCCUCCAUGUUUCACUGUAGGUAUGGUGUUCUUUUCUUUGAAAACGUCAUUUUUUUGUGUGUGAACAUAGAGCUGAUGUGACUUGCCAAAAAUAUCCAGUUUUGACUCAUCUGUACAAAGGACAUUCUCCCAGAAAGAUUGUGGCUUGUCAAUAUGCGUUUUAGCAAAUUCCAAUCUGGCUUUGUUUUUCUUUCAAAAGUGGAGUCCUCCUGGGUCUUCUUCCAAAUCAAAUCAAAUUUUAUUUGUCACACACACGGUUAGCAGAUGUUAAUGCGAGUGUAGCGAAAUGCUUGUGCUUCUAGUUCCGACAAUGCAGUAAUAACCAACAAGUAAUCUAACCUAACAAUUCCACAACUACUACCUUAUACACACAAGUGUAAAGGGAUAAAGAAUAUGUACAUAAAGAUAUAUGAAUGAGUGAUGGUACAGAACGGCAUAGGCAAGAUGCAGUAGAUGGUAUAGAGUACAGUAUAUACAUAUGAGAUGAGUAAUGUAGGGUAUGUAAACAAAGUGGCAUAGUUUAAAGUGGCUAGUGAUACAUGUAUUACAUAAAGAUGGCAAGAUGCAGUAGAUCAUAUACAGUACAGUAUAUACAUAUACAUAUGAGAUGAGUAAUGUAGGGUAUGUAAACAUUAUAUUAAGUGGCAUUGUUUAAAGUGGCUAGUGGUACAUUUUUACAUAAUUUCCAUCAAUUCCCAUUAUUAAAGUGGCUGGAGUUGAGUCAGUAUGUUGGCAGCGGCCACUAAAUGUUAGUGGUGGCUGUUUAACAGUCUGAUGGCCUUGAGAUAGAAGCUGUUUUUCAGUCUCUCGGUCCCUGCUUUGAUGCACCUGUACUGACCUCGCCUUCUGGAUGAUAGCGGGGUGAACAGGCAGUGGCUUGGGUGGUUGUUGUCCUUGAUGAUCUUUAUGGCCUUCCUGUGACAUCGGGUGGUGUAGGUGUCCUGGAGGGUAGGUAUGGAGCCCACUUUCGCUCAUAAAGCGACUGAUGGUGCGAUCAGAAACUGACGUACCUUCACCUUGGAGUACAGCUUGUAUCUCUUUGGCAGUUAUCCUUGGUUCUUUUUCUACCAUUCGCACUAUCCUUCUGUUCAAUCUGGGGUUGAUUUUCCUCUUGUGGCCGUGCCCAGGGAGGUUGGCUACAGUUCCAUGGACCUUAAACUUCUUAAUAAUAUUUGCAACUGUUGUCACAGCCUUUACCUUUACCAUGCUUGUCUAUUAUUUUCUUUCUGAUUUCCUCAGACAAAUCUCUCCUUUGCUUUCUCUGGUCCAUGUUCAGUGUGGUGCACACAAUGAUACCAAACAGCUCAGUGACUACUUUUCUCCAUUUAAAUAGGCUGAAUGACUGAUUACAAGAUUGGAGACGUGUGGUACUAAUUAAAUAAACACAUUUGUUUGAAGUACCAACAAAUGUGUCCAUGCCAUUUUAGAAUAUCUUUGUAGAAGAAGCAAUAAUUCAUAUCUUUUCACAGGUUCUUUGCUUUAUUCUAUGACAUACCAAAGGCAUGCAAGUAUACAUGAUAAAAUUGAAUUUUAAUUUCAAAACUUUUCAGGAGGAAUGAAGCAUUAUUUCAAUGAGCUGUAAGGGUACCAACAAAUUUGAGCACGUCUGUUAGUGGACCUUGUUGGCCUAGUUAAAUUUAGCCUAAUGGCAGUAGAAUCAACCUAGUGCAUGAGCAAUGGGUAUUCAAUAGGGGACGUACAAAGGGGAGGUAUUUGCUGUUUUUCUGACUUUGACCUACCUUAAACUGAUAUGAAUUAUAAAAUGUCCAUGUACUGCAUGAUUAGACUAGAUACUAAUGUUGACGCAGGAAACUCCAGAGACUGGGCUAAAGGGCACAGCUUUUUGUUUUUUGUCCUCAGACAUUUAAGAAUGAAACAAGUAGAAGUGGGUGUCUUGUCACAGUAACUCCGCUGUAGCUCCAUUUCACCAUGUGUUGUACAGAAGGCCAUAUGUCAUCUUCUGGAUCUGAUUCAUUGGAUGAGAGAAAAUAGAAGAGAAAGAGGUGUUCUGUAUGUAUUUGUAUUUAUUAUGGAUCUCCAUUAGCUGCUGCCAAGGCAGGGUAUUAAGAGUACUGUAUGUUUGUAGGAGCAAUGGAGUGAUGUUGUCAUAGCAGUAAUGCUAGUUUCCUCUGAAUGGCAACAGAUCGUAGGCCUAUUCCUGAGGCCUGAAUAGGCUAUUCUGUGAUGAUACCUUGAAAUCGAAUCAGUGACCACGAAAAAUUGCUCAGUGAUAGCCAUUUUUUAUUUAUUUAGUUGAUCUAUUUAAGACCAGGCAGGAAAAAAACACCUCUACCACCACACCACAAUAUUUCAGUUUAUGUUGGAACUUUGUCAUGGCAUUUUACUAUUCAGUAAGCACAGCUGACUUUGCCAAAUCUUUUUUCAAGUAGACUAUUUUUUUAGUGGACUACACUUUUAUUUCUAAGUUAUAUACGCAGAUACCUCUUGAAGGGAAAUAUAACCUCUGAUGAAAUGCCAUACACAGGCUUGAAGUGGGACAGGGUCUUGCAUGUACUCAAUUCAACUCUUUCAGCAUGAGCUAAGACUUCCUGCCCCACUUCACGUCCCUCUGAAUUUACGAUUGGUCAUGUAAAGGAAGCACAGCACAUCCAGAUGUGUGCAGCACAUGCACGCUGUGAUUUGUACCCAUGUGAGGAUGUAAGUCCAAAUUUAUCAGCAUGUGCCCGUGCAAGGUAUAGUUCUGUAAUGUAUACGAACAUAUAACAUGUCUAUUGGACCACAAAGUUCUCAAAGCAUUUGGUUUCUCCCAUUGCUGUUGUUAAGAUUUACAUCGUGUCGGCAAGGAUAGGGAUGUAGAUAUCGUUGCUAUGCUCUAACUCAUUGUCAGAUGAAAGGAUGAGGUAUUGAGAAAGACAAUGCAGGAACAUGUCCUGACUUUGUUACAAAAAAAAAAGAUAGAGGUGGAUUUGUUAAGCCCAGACAGCCAGAUAAAGAGACUCAGCUGAUGCUUGAUAGUGUUAUCAGACCAUUGCAUGCCUCUGCCUCCUACAUAAGCAGAGGACAGAGAGCAUUAAAGCAGGUUGAUGAUAAACGUCACAGAAACCACACAGAGAUUAAUUAAAGAAGAAUAAAGACCAUAGAACAGAA